GGGGGGGGGGGGGGGGGGGGGGGGGGGGGGGGGGGGGGGGGGGGGGGGGGGGGGGGGGGGGGGGGGGGGGGGGGGGGGGGGGGGGGGGCCGGGCCCGCCCGGCGGGUACAUUGUGCGCGGGGCCGCUGCGGGGCCGCUCCGCGCUCCAGCCCUGCAUCCCCGGUCUCUGCAUCCCUGCCGCCCGGCGCUGGGCGCUUCGCUGCUCACGGGCAUUCCGGCUCGGCCAAGCCCCGCUCAAGCUGCCUCUGAGUACGUGAAUCCCUGCAUGUAAGAGAUCCC
rnacentral:lncRNA from 12 species